CAUUAGAUAGUUGGCGGGGUAAUGGCCCACCAAGUCCGCGAUGGGUAGCUGGUCUGAGAGGAUGAUCAGCCACACUGGAACUGAAACACGGUCCAGACUCCUACGGGAGGCAGCAGUAGGGAAUUUUGCGCAAUGGACGAAAUGUCUGACGCAGCGACGCCGCGUGUGGGAUGAAGGGUUUCGGCUCGUAAACCACUGUCAGAUGGGAAGAUGGGGUAACAAACUAAUAAUUUGUUAUCUUGACUGUACCAUCAGAGGAAGCACCGGCUAACUACGUGCCAGCAGCCGCGGUAAUACGUAGGGUGCUAGCGUUACUCGGAAUCAUUGGGCGUAAAGGGUGUGUAGGUGGAUUAGUAAGUCAGAUGUGAAAGCCUUGGGCUCACCCCAAGAAGUGCAUUUGAUACUGCUAUUCUAGAGUUCGGGAGAGGGAGGCAGAAUUCCAGGUGUAGAGGUGAAAUCCGUAGAUACCUGGAGGAAUACCGGAGGCGAAGGCGGCCUCCUGGACCGAUACUGACACUGAGACACGAAAGCGUGGGUAGCAAACAGGAUUAGAUACCCUGGUAGUCCACGCCCUAAACGAUGGUUACUAGAUGAGGUGGGAUUUGACCCCUGCCGUAUCGAAGCUAACGCGAUAA
rnacentral:rRNA from 1 species